AGCAGCCGCGGUAAUUCCAGCUCCAAUAGCGUAUAUUAAAGUUGUUGCAGUUAAAAAGCUCGUAGUUGAAUUUCGGGAUCAAUACGUCGGUCGUGCUUAGGUACGUACUGGCGUAAUUGAUUUCUCCCUUCUGACGAACCAUGAUGUCAUUAACUUGGUGUCAUGGGAAAUCAGGACUGUUACUUUGAAAAAUUAGAGUGUUUAAAGCAGGCUCACGCUUGAAUACAUUAGCAUGGAAUAAUGAAAUAGGACGUUCGAUCCUAUUUUGUUGGUUUUUAGGAUCAACGUAAUGAUUAAUAGGGAUAGUUGGGGGCAUUAGUAUUCAAUUGUCAGAGGUGAAAUUCUUGGAUUUAUUGAAGACUAACUACUGCGAAAGCAUUUGCCAAGGAUGUUUUCAUUAAUCAAGAACGAAAGUUAGGGGAUCGAAGACGAUCAGAUACCGUCGUAGUCUUAACCAUAAACUAUGCCGACUAGGGAUCGGAUGAUGUUAAUUUUUAAUGACUCAUUCGGCGCCUUAAC
rnacentral:rRNA from 1 species